CAGGCUCCCAGGCAGGGAAAGCCAUCCCCAGAGGCAGUAGGGUACUUGGGUUGAUUUUCAGGACGAAUGAAGAAACUCCUGCCAGAAAUCACCCUGUGUUGUAGAAAUAAAGCCAUCCAACCAAGACAUCUCCUGGAUGCUUAUUCCUAUAGAAAAUGUGUUCGCAUCCAGAGGUCAAAGGGAUUUAGGACUCUGCUGGCCUGGUGAUGGGAGGGAGGCGCGGGUUCAUCUGCUGCACCUGAGCGCAGGCACCACAAAUACCUGUGGCUGCCAGGGGCUGGAGCUGUGCUAGGCGCCGUGAUUUAUACAGCUGGCUGUGGAUGUCACCCAUUUGUCCUUCCCAUGUGACCCCCAAAAGCACUGUUAUCUCCCUGUAAUUAGGUCCGUGGGGCAGAAAUGGAUGUGCUGUCCCGUGGGGUCACAACGCGCGGCUCUCACCACACCUGCAGCUGGCCCUGAUGCAGCCGGGAGCUGCCGGUGCCAGCACUGCCGGCACUUUCCGAGGGCCGCAUCCAGCGCCGGGCUUGUGCAGGUGCUUCAUUCAAAGCACAUGGAGCAUCCCAUCGGCUCUAUACAGAGCUGAUAAACACUUGUGCAAUAAAGUGCGUCGCAGUGCUGGCUCUAACAACAAGAAGCUCACUCCUGGCUCCGGAGAGACAUGAAAAUUGUAAUCAGCUGAACUGGCUGUAGCACAGCAGUGCCAUUUGCAUGCGUAUGAUGUUGUUUAACUUCAGCUGUAGAGCGCUCAUUUUUGGAAACAGAGUAAGUGUGCUAGCAGCAGCUAUUUGACCUUCUGAAAUCCAGUGAA